rnacentral:lncRNA from 1 species
AAAUCAAGGUGGAAAUUAAAAAAAAUUCUUCAUGGAAACCAUUAUGCUCAGGAAACUGACACAAGAACAGAAAAAUCAAACACCGCAUGUUCUCACUCAUAGGGUGUUUUCAGGUCUGAAAAGAACACCUGAAAGUACCAAAGCCAUCUUGCCAUGAGCAGCCUGAGAAUGGAGACGAUGACUGAGGGUGGCAGAGCAGAAAGAUGGUAAGAGCCUGCAUCUGUAAUAACUGGGCUGGCCACUGAAGCUGCUUACCCAACCCUCUCCCCCUUGGUAAGUACAGUUAUCCCAAUGAAUGAAUUCUGAAAAAUUGUUUAAGGGUGUUUAAAUCUGGUUUUUAUGGCUUGAAGCCAAAAGCGUUCUAGCUAAAAUAACUUGCCAUGUAGUAAAUGUUUAUUAAACAUUUUUAAUAAACAUUAAUGUACAUUAAACAUAACUUGAUUUUAAAGUGGUGGUCUUAGAAAUCAAAGGGUGUGUCCCUUGUGAGUCUGUCAUGCAAUAGGAUUUGGAACAUGAAAUACAGUAUUCUUAUGGUCAUCCCCUAUAAGCCCACGCUUAUUUUGUU